UGGCAAUUCCCAUGCUCUCUGCUCAGUUGAAUCAUUUGCUAUAAUAACUAGAGAACAGAGAGCAAAGAGCAGGAGUAGAUGUGGGUUUACAACUUAUGCUUAAUUGUUUCUCAUGUAAGAAUAAUUGGAAUGAUAUUAUAGAGGUCUGAGGUUGCAGAAUUAAUUUGUUUGCUUUCGUUAUGAUGUGUAUGUUUGUGUGUGUAUAUACUUGCACACGCAUGUCCCCGUAGAGUAUUUGCAUAUUUGCGCACUGCACUCCUCUGCUGCCCUUCAUCCAGAUUUCUAUUAGCUCUUCUCAACUUUGCCAAUGACCCCUUGCUAGUCUUAUUUCUAGUCUUAAUCCACUAUAAUCCAUUUUAUACACAGCAUUCAUGGUGAUCUUUUGAUUUUUUUUUUUGCUUUUUAGGACCACACCUACAGCAUGUGGAAGUUCCCAGGCUAGGGGUCCAAUCCCACUGUAGCUCCAAGUCUGGAAACUUCCAUAUGCUGCAUCUGUGGCCCUUAAAAAAAAAAAAAAAAAGAAAGAAAGAAAGAAAGAAAAAAAUUUGAAAUACCCACAUUGUUCCUUAAAGCCCUACCUACCUGACUCCUGCCUGCCUAUCUGACUACUUCUCCCCCAUGACAAAUUGCCUGGCUCGCCAAAGUCUCACCAACCUGGAUUUGGUGUGUUUUCAUCUUGGCCCUUUGCCCUAGCUGUUACCUCUACAAGCGAUGCUAUCCCUCUGAAGCUUCACAUGAUAGGAAGCCCUUUUCCUGAUCACCCACCUAGAGUGGCCUAUCACCCCAUCACAUCGCUCCGUUUUAGUUGCAUCAUUGUCUUCAGCUAUGGUAGCACCUGCAACACGGCCUGGCCCAUAGGAAGUUCUCAAUAAGUAUUUGUGGUCUAAAUGGAAGAAAUAAUUACAGGUAGGUUUUUCUUUUGGUGUUUGCCUUUCACAGUUCUCACAAAGUUGUCAUAUACAAGAUUUAAUAUUGAUGAUCAGCUUAGAGCCACCUUUUGAAUACCAAGAUUUUCUGUUUUUGUUUUGGUCAGGGUUUUAUUAUCUCUAAAAAUAUGCAGUAGAAAUUCAAAAUUACUUAAAAAGUAGAUGGUUUUCUCUUAACCGGCUAGAGGCAUUAGUCAUGGUUGUAAAAUAAGGGAAUUUACCAGUAUAAUUAUGGAACAAUGCCAAUGUUUCCCUCUUUAGAGAAAGAAGGAAAGAAUAAAAUAUAAAAACUUUGCAAUCUGGAGGACUCAGAUAUAUAAACAAAUUAUUAUAAAAUGUAACAAAUGGCAUAAUCAAGGUACAAAGCACCAUGGGAACACAGUGGUAGGAACUUCUUUCUGUGCUUGAGGAAGUGGGGGAAAACUUCAGAAAGCCCAGUAUGUAGAAAACCAUGGUCUGGGGAAGUAAGCACUACGUAGAAAAUAUCUUUUUUCCCUCCAAUGAUCCAAAAACCAAGGGUUUGGGUUCAAGGGGAGCCUCCCUACCAAUGGUUUUCCUUUUUCUUUUGGCCAUGACCUUGGCAUGAGGAAGUUUCCAGGCCAGGGAUCAAACCCUUGCCAUGGCAGCAACCUGAGCCAAAGCAGCAACAAUGCUGGAUCUUUAACCUGCUGAGCCACCAGGGAACUCCAGUAUUCCUUUAAUUGUUUUGAAAAUAUUUAGAAAGCAGUGGAAUCAUUUGCCUCCUAAGGAAGUCUUAUGUAGAAUCCCCAAUAUAUACAAUAGUAAAAGGCUUCUCUGGGUGAAGAAGGCCUAAGUGGCUCUGCAGUGGUUCCUGAUGUCUUAGUCCCCCCAACAGGGACUGAGGGCCCACGUUAGGACCCCAGAGACUUUUUUUUUUUGGCCAUGCCUGAGGCAUGUGGAAGUUCCCAGGCCAGGGACUGAACCAGAGGCAGAGCAGUGAUAACACUGAAUCCUUCACCGCUAGGCUACCACGGAACUCUUAGGACCCCAGAGCUACAAGGAAAAUAAUGUAAAAGCUACUGCCUUUUACUCUCUUUAAGCAAACUAGGCGGGAGCUGUGGCGGUCAUGAAAACGCACCGCUCAGGUCCCCUGCUGCAGGAGGACGGUGACAGAUGGGGAUCCCCGCAGCAUGUGCGUGAGUCCCCACUCCCUGUGGGCUGUUCCUGGAGAAUGAGGCAAUGUGACAGGGUUGCUUGUGCAAGCCUGUUCCUGCAAGAUGGGGAUUCCUCGGAUGGGCGACUUUGGCUCAAAGACUUUUCACAAACGCUGAAUUAUGCUUAAAAUUGUGGGGCAAUCUGAGACUGUCUAUCCAGCAUCACUUCGCUCUCAUCCUUCCCGGUUCCCCUCACCUCUUUCAGCUCCCUCCCUUUUCCCCCCUCAUUGGCAUUUUCCUUGAUAAAUUUCAUGCACAUCUAAUCCUGUCUUGGCAUCUGCUCCUAGAAGAGACUUGCAUUAUGCCUAUAAUUGCCACAUUUUCAGCUUAGCUAAAGUAAGAUUUCCAAAGUGCACUUAUACUGGCACAAUUCCAAUAAAACCCAAGAGAGAGGAGGAGAGGAUUGAGAAAGGAACCCCUAGGUGCUGUAUCCUAUACUUCAAGCCCGCAAAUUAAUCAUGACUAAAUUCCAAAAUCUAAAUAUGGACAGACUGAAAAACUUGGAUAUUUAAACAGCCAAAGUAGAACUGAAGAUUAGUUAAUGGAGGCUGUUUUUACACCCACACAACCUGGCAGAUUAUUGCUGUACAGUCUUUGUCGCAAAAAAUACUACAGAAAUAUGGUCCUUUGAAAACAUCUUCUGUCCCUGUAUAAAUGACAUAGGAUCCGGAGGCAUUUCUGCAAAUAAUAUGUUUUCCUAUGCCAGUGUAUAAAUAGCUUUAGAGUGCUGAGAUAAAAAGAAAGUUGCCAAGGCUAUUGCUACACUGACAAGAGAAGCAGCCGAUUGGGAGUCUGUUCUGCUAUUUGCGGUUAGUCCUCAGACUGAGUUUCACUUGACCAGACAAGAGGGCGGACGCUGUCAUCUCUGACCACUUAGAAAAGGCCAGAAUGGGGGCCUUCCCAAUUUACCUUCCCUUUUGGGGAGAUUUACUUAGCAGACAAGCACUUUCCUUCUAUUAUAAAAAACACUGUCUUUCAAAUGAUGACCAACUCCAAGUCUCCCCAGCUUUUAGUGCCACCAUGUCCAUGAGACCCUUCUGGAUUGGACUAAAGAUCUUUCCAUGUGUCCUUUUUACCAUCUGGUAAAACUUAUGAAGGGGGAGAAAGAAUAAAUGAAAAUCUAAGAUGUCUUAGCAUACCUUGGAGAUUUGCAUCAUUGAGUGUCCUGAUCCAUUGACAGGCCCACAGUCGCUCUUGCUAUCAUUUAUAUUCUGCCACUCAUUUAUACUUUCAUUCAUGUAUUAAACCUUUCUUGACCGCUUACAGUGUGUGGGCUUUGGGGAUAGCAAUGAACAUGACUGGCAAGGUCCCUGCUCACUGUUAGCACAGCCUCUUUUGGGGCACAUGGGUGGCAAAUAUAUAACAUAAUGGAAAUUCGAAUGAUCACACAGAGUGACUGGGAAGAGAGUGUCGGGGAUGCUCUCUGAGAAGCCAGCCAUGGAGAAGACUAUUGAGAAGAGGAGCAUCAGCUGCAGACACUUAGCUGGGAAUGACCUUGGCCUGUUCAAGGAAGAGAAAGAAGGCUGAGAUGGCUGGAUCACAGCACAGAAAGGCAGUGGGCGAUGAGGUCAGCUGAAAGACUGGGCCCGCUCUUGUAGGGCCUUACAUGCAUGGUUCUGAGUCUUGGCUUAUUCUAAAUUCAAUGGGAGUUCCUCAGAGUUGUUGGGGAUUUUCUUUUAUUUAUUUGUGUUUGUUUUCAGAACACAGAUACUUUACAUGUUGGAUGUUCUAUCAAAGAUCUGGGCAUUUAUAUUUUUCUAAUCAAAAAUUGCACUUAUUUGUUAAAUGUCCUUCCUGAAGAAUGUGAAUCUCUGUGUCCUCAAAGCCUAGCAUGUCACCUAGAACAAGAAGAUAUUUAGUACAUGUUGACUAAAUAAAAAUGUGAUUGAAUACAGAGAAAGGCAAGGUUGUGGUAAAAUUUGGUGUGAAAUACUAAUAAUUAAUAGGCCAGCACUGGAUGGAACCCAAAGGGAGGACAGCAGCCAGGUAAGCUCUUCUGUUACAGCAAAUCCCUGGUGACUCUGAGAAGAGAAGAGGUGACUCUGCUACUGACACGAAUGGGGGGACUUCGAAACGCUGUCAUUUAACAUGAGACCCAGGAAACAGGCACAGUCAUGAGAGUGUUUAACUGACCCUGGGAUAUGGGCCGUAUU
rnacentral:lncRNA from 1 species